CCUACGGUGUGCAGCAGUGAGGAAUAUUGGUCAAUGGACGCAAGUCUGAACCAGCCAUGCCGCGUGCAGGAAGACGGCUCUAUGAGUUGUAAACUGCUUUUGUACAAGGGUAAACGCAGAUACGUGUAUCUGUCUGAAAGUAUCGUACGAAUAAGGAUCGGCUACCUCCGUGCAAGCAGCCGCGGUAAUCCGGAGGAUUCAAGCGUUAUCCGGAUUUAUUGGGUUUAAAGGGUGCGUAGGCGGUCGGAUAAGUUAGAGGUGAAAUCCCGAGGCUCAACUUCGGAAUUUCCUCUGAUACUGUUCGGCUAGAGAGUAGUUGCGGUAGGCGGAAUGUAUGGUGUAGCGGUGAAAUGCUUAGAGAGCAUACAGAACACCGAUUGCGAAGGCAGCUUAACAAGCUACUUCUGACGUUGAGGCACGAAAGCGUGGGGAGCAAACAGGAUUAGAUACCCUAGUAGUC
rnacentral:rRNA from 1 species